UACAGGGGGGGCAAGCGUUGUUCGGAAUUACUGGGCGUAAAGGGUCUGUAGGUGGCCAACUAAGUCAGACGUGAAAUCCCUCAGCUUAACUGGGGAACUGCGUCUGAUACUGGAUGGCUUGAGUGUGGGAGAGGAAUGCGGAAUUCCAGGUGUAGCGGUGAAAUGCGUAGAUAUCUGGAGGAACACCGGUGGCGAAGGCGGCGUUCUGGACUGCUACUGACACUGAGGAACGAAAGCCAGGGGAGCAAACGGG
rnacentral:rRNA from 1 species